CCAAGCAAAUGUCACGGAAACCUCUCUCUUUCUGACAGGAAACAGACGUGGUUUUGAGAUGUGUGUUAAUUAUUCAAGGCCACUCAGUGUCAAGAGACACUUUUCUUCUUGAAGCACAAACAAUCAAUCAACAUUCUUUGUAGGUCAUGACCUUUUGGUUUUUAGAGCGUUUCAAAUUUAAUUUUGAAAUUAUAAUGCAUAUUUUUAUGAAAAGAUUCGGCACCAAACGUGCAACAUUUCCCAGUCGUGGGGAGAAGAAAGGCAUUGGGUGUAUGGUGACACGUAGCCAGCAAACACAGCGAGAGUCACUAGAACAGAGUGGGCUGACUUGAAAUAGGUGGAGGAAUAAAGAGUGACAACAAUCUGAGUCUGUCUGGCUGAGAAAGAGAAAGUGAGACAUGACUUGUCCGUCUGUGUGUAUCUCCUCUCACGAGGGUUUUAAGAGUCUUGGCCUAUACGAUGAGUGGACGUGUUUGCAUGUGUGUGAGCGUGAGUGGAAGUGCGCACUAAUAGCUCCCAAGCUAAUCUCAUCAGCAGCUCAACCCUAAACACACAGAGAGGAAGAGACGCCGCAGGAAUGAGUCGAGCCGGUGAGUUGCUUUUUGUUUCAGACUAUUUGGAUUCAACAUGCAGGUCAUCGUCACACAGCAGGUGGGAAAUGACACAGAACUUUCUGAGGACGAGGCAGAACGUCUGAGGAUGGAACUGGCCAAGGUGGAGGAGGAGAUCCACGCGCUCCGUCAGACGCUCCUGACCAAAGAAAGGACGGCGUCAGAAAUCCGCCGGCAGCUGGGCUUGAGUCCGCUCAGCUGCAUUCGACAGAACCUGAGCCGCAGCUGGGAGAGCGUCCAGUGCUCCGCCCCGUACCAGACUGCCUCGGCCACUCUGGACGACAUCAGCCACUCGGACGUGUACCUGAGGACCCGGGAUGGACUGUCUCAUGCCGGUAACGCCACGUCGUCUGCGUUGUCUAAUGUGGGCGUGGCCAUCACCAGGAGGCUGGCAGGAAUGAGGUCGCUGCCUCUGCCGGGUCCACCGCGCUUUUGGAUCUCAAAUCAACUAGUCAUCACCGUGUUCCUCCUCUUAUCUCUCCUUUAUCUCUCCAUUGAGAGUAAGUUAUCAUCUGGGCAAACACUAAUGGACGCAGUAAUGACAGGUCACGUCGAUUGACUAUUCAUCAACAUGACAAGACGAGAUAAACAUGAGGAGCUCUCUGCGUCUUGUGUUUCAGUAUGCAUCACCACAUCAGCGUCCCAACCCUCAGACACGCUCCUGUACUGAGGUCUCUGGAGGACAUGGUCAACGGUGUGAAGCUGCGACGAUGAAGCCAGCUGAGACUGGGACCCAGAUCCACGGAGCAAAGGACCCCCUCACACAGCACAGACCUCGUUGCCAUGAGAACACCCCUGCAGCUAUUUGGCUCGGAAUUAAUAACCUGAACAAUAGAUGGAGUCAUUCAGAAUGGAUUUUAAAUUAGAGAUGUGUGACGAGCGAGGUCACUAUAGUCAAGGACAACUAACGAAAACUAGAAUUGUAAUUCAUUUCCGUUAACUGAAAUAAAAUAAAAACAAAAGUUUUUCAUAAAACGACAAUUAACGCUUUAUUUAUUUAUUUAUGUAUAAUAACGUUUUAAUUGUUUCAUAAAGAAGCAUUUUGACAAGUAAAUGAGUAAUUGACAAGUAAACGUCCGCAGGCAGAACUCGGGCAUGCGCGUUACUAACUUCCGGUUCCCGCACCGGAAUUUCCGGCUACAUCGGGCAGGUGGACCAGAUCAGGCUCCUCUUGUUUGAGUAAUGGACUGGCGAGUUCGUCUGCAUGGACUAUGAUGUUUGCUGAGAAUGUGAAAGACAAAAAUUCAAAACUAAAUAAAAACAAAAACUGAUGAAAAAUCCCAAACUAUUGUAACCUUGGUGACGAGUCCGAUUUGUUUGUAGUAGCAUAUAUAAACCACUAGAUAGCGCUGUGGUGUUUCAGAAUUCCUCUCCAGGCAGAAUGUUCACUAUUUUAUUGACGUGUUUUGUUGUCAUUAUUUUUAUUCCGUCU